AUGACAACAGAACCCACAACAACCAUGACUUUUAUCACCAUCUUCAUCUGGAUAUUUGCCCUCUUCUUCAAGGAAUCCAGAGGCCAGAUCACUGUGACACAGACUCCUGCAGUGAAAACUGUUCUCCCAGGACAGACAGUCUCUCUGAACUGUAAAGCCAGCAGUGAUGUGUAUCCUAACUGUAGGCGUUUAGGUAAACCAUGUUUAGCCUGGUAUCAACAGAAACCUGGAGAAACUCAUAAAGCAUUGGUCUACUACGGAAGCGUCCUCUUCUCUGGGACUCCAUCUAGAUUCAGUGGCAGUGGAUCUGGGAGUGACUUCACUCUGACCAUCAGUGGAGUCCAGGCUGAAGAUGCAGGAGAUUACUACUGUCAGAGUUUCCACAGUGGUAAUGUGUUCACACAGUGA